CAGUCAGUGAGGUUAGAGAAAUAAUUUUCCUUGUUGGUGGCUGUGUAUAUCAACCCAGUGAGGAGGCUGAGAUCUGUAAGAAAUGCAGCUUGUCGUAUUUGAGUCCUUGGCACCAGUCAGAGGAGAACUAGGAAUUCUUGGGGAGACCAGCACCGAGAGCCCACAAGGGUGCCCAGGGAGAGGGCAGCGGGGAGUAAUGUCUGCCAAGAACAAUCUCCGUGUUUAUACAGUCUUCUCAUCUGUUGUAAUUCCACCAUGGGUUUUUCCUUGGAAAGAAGUGAUAUGAAUCAUCGUGUGAAUAUUCAAUUAGAAUGAAGGAGUUUACCCAGUCUAAUUCAUCAGCAUUCUGUAUUUAUAUCUCUGCAAUUAUUUAGUUUACUCAGUCGAAGAAGUACACCAUUACUUUUUGUUGCUCUGUCAAUACAGAUGGGAAACAGUUUUGUUGAUAUAUUUAAAUAAGGUAAGCAGCAGAAGAAAUUCAAUUUGGAGGACACUGCCUUAUCCAACAACUGAAUCAGACUUUUGUUAUGUAAUACGACGGAUCUGAUGCUGCUGCUUGCUGUUUUUCUGGAAAUGUGCAAAAAUAGAAUUAAAACAAAAAAGUCCAGGGAACUGUUUCCAGUAUUUGAACACAAAUUCCCUUAAUGUACAGAGCGCUGAAGCUACAUCUGUGGAUUUUUUAACCUUAAGCAAUAAACAAUCUCUGGAUGUGCUAGUCAGGACAAGAACUUGUAGAAGUUGCAAUGUUUGCAUAAACUCUCAUCUUGCAAUGAAUUGCAUGUGCUCAGCUUCAUGCACAUACAAAUGACAGCCAGGUAUUUGCAGGUGGUGGCCAGAUCUCAGGAUCUCAAGACAGAGCUGAAUAGUAUUUGUAAUUGAUUGUAGUAUAUACAGUUAUGUCUCUUCCAAGUGUUGCUAUGAGAGUGCCAGAUUAUUUGAGGAUGUAUAUGAGCCUUUCUUGGGGUUUGUUUGUUUAAUAUAAUGCUUAGACUCUGCAUUCCGCAAAAAAGAUAGCUGCUGAGCGGUAUGCUGUAUGAUUGGGCCAUUUAAGUCAUGUUAGGCCACUUAGAAGAUAAACUGAAGCAUUUUUAAAGGUCUUUCUUGAAGUCUUUGGCCUGAGAAGUUAAUGUGAUGUAUACUGAGAGUGAAUUAGCAAAUAGAUAUUUCAUUUGAUACACCUUAUAAGAGUCUCAAUAAGAACAAUCAAUUAAAUCUCAAAUUGGUCUUGACUUUGGGCUGCAGAAGAGUUUGUCGAGGCUGGCUUUCAGUAGCACUUCAGUCCAUGGUAGUACUCUCUUAAAUUAUUAUGUCCAUAACUUUUAUUAAGUAUAAUGUGAAAUGCACUGAGAAACCAUACCAAACUAAAAUGCCUCUUUCAUAAUAGUAAUGUUUCCAUAGCACCAAAAUCUUUGACUUGAUUCUUUUGUCUGUAUUAAUAUCACCUUGAACAUUAAGAAAUAGAGUAGAUUACCUAUUAAAAAACAGUCCUACAGGAGAAAAUUCAUUAUACAUAUAUAUAAUCUGUGAAAAUUACUGAAGUGCUUAAGUAGAGGUAAAAAUCCAUAGGAGAACAAAAACUGCAAAAUAUUUGAAAGGGUGUUUUUAUAUUACAAGCCUAACAACAAAUGCUAAGUUAGAAUCAACCUAGCCAAGGAAUAAGGGUUAUCUCUCCAUAGUUACUUAGGGGGCUCUACUGAAGGAUAGGAACUGCUUAAUGCGAAGGCUUCUGAAACUCCUACUAAGUCAUUUUUUCUGAGGUUAAUGUAUAUGUACUUGUGGAUAAGAGAAACCAAAAAAAAAAAAAGGACUUUCCAUUUCUAAAUGACGUAUUAGACAUAUUCCAGGCUGCACUUCUAAGCACUUUAAAGAGAAAUUGGGUUGUUUGGAAGGUUUUAAAAAAGUGAAUGCAUACAUUUAUCUUUAGCUGAAUUCUGUCUGCUUAUAAAAGGAAUAAAGAAUAUGAAUGGAGACAACUACUUAUUUUUAAGUGGCAUGAAGACAUUCCUGGCAGAUGAAAUGGCCAUUACAGAUAAUAAGACAGGGCUAGGUAAAAUAUGUUGAGAAGCAUGCUGAUAUCACAAGCUCUCAGUUGGCAGUAUAUUCUGAGAACUUUAAAACUGUUUAUGGAUGGAUAAAAAAUAAAAAUAGGAAAGUAUACAUGAUGGGAAAAGAAAACUCAACCUGCCUUAAAGUCUACAACAGCAGAGAAAGGAUAAAUAUUAGCAGAUACAAAGAAGCCUUUAGGGGGUGAGGCAUUUAAAUGAAACAGUCAUAUGUAGAUCACUGUGUGCUUUUGAUGUUUUUAUCCAAAUCUUUGCAAGGAAGAUCACCACUACAGUAUAACUCAGAAAGUCUAAAGCAAAGCAGAGCAAUGAAUGUAGAGAAUCUGUAAUCAGAGUGCUUGAUCAUUUCAGAAGUAAAAUGUUUCAAAAAUCCCUUAUGGAAAACAAAGCUGCUUGUUUCCUGGAAACCUUUUCUUUUUAAAUGCUUUCAAAUCUAAGGGAGCUUCCAGAAUACAAAAGAAACAAAUACUUUGGAAAAUGGGAAUAUUAGAAACUGAAGCCAUAAACUUGCAAGUACUGUUCCUGUUCAUGGGUAAUUCAGAUAAUUUUAGGUGAUUGUGAUCAGCUCCUAAUAACUGUCCCAGUGAUCCAGACAUGCAAAAAAUGAAGAAAGUGAUUUGAGGAGGUUGACUGGACACCUUUCUGUUGAAAA